AAUAGAUUGAACUGGCACUUCAGGAUGCUGAGCUGCAGUUUCAGUUGAGCUCUGUGCUUCACAGAGAUUUAUCA